CGUGAAACCGCUUAGAUAAAACGGACGGAGCCGUCCGGAGCCUUCGGGAAUCAGUCGAAAUUUGAACGAAAUUCGAUUCGUUUACUAGAACGCAAGUCUAGUCGAGUCGACCGAAUUAAACUAGUAGUUUAGUUUCGACGCAUUUCUCGUCGGUAUGCGCUGCGACCGAUACGAAAGGCCGACGAAGCGUCGUUUUUGAUUGAGGUCGAUCAACCCGUUAAACGGUUAGUCGUUUCCAGUCUCGACGCCUCGAGUCGUCGGACCGCAGUAUGUAUCGAGCGUCCCAUUUUUGUUUUUUGAAUGUCGGCCGUAAGGUUCGUUCGAAUAACGGAUAGUUGGUUCCAAUUGGUUGGUUACUUGCUCGCAGGUACCGAUGAUUGGUGAUUCGAUUUAGAAGUUAUCGACGACGUUUCGACAUUCGGGCGUCCGCAGCGUCAGUGUCGGCCACCCGUCCGACCCGUCUUGAAACACGGACCAAGGAGUCUAACAUAUGCGCGAGCCAUUGAGUGUUAAAAACUCACAGGCGCAAUAAAAGUAAACGAAGUUUCCGACUUCUAAGAUACGAUCUCUUAUCGAAGCUUUAUUGUUUCUCGAUUCGAGCGCAGUAUCGUCCCGUCCCGAUCGCUCGUCGAUAGGGCGGAGAUAGAGUGCAUACGUUGGGACCCGAAAGAUGGUGAACUAUGCCUGAGCAGAGCGAAGCCAGAGGAAACUCUGGUGGAGGUUCGUAGCGGUUCUGACGUGCAAAUCGAUCGUCAGAC
rnacentral:rRNA from 1 species